CGCACAUUGCGCCCUUUGGUAUUCCAUAGGGCAUGCCUGUUCGAGCGUCAUUUGCACCCUCAAGCCUUGCUUGGUGUUGGGCGCUUGUCCCGCCGUCGCGCGCGGACUCGCCUGAAAUGAAUUGGCAGCCAGCCGCCUGGGCUCGGAGCGCAGCAGAAUCAGCGCAGCGAGACCCGGCGUCGCGGCGUCCACAAGCCCCUUUUUACCACGCUUGACCUCGGAUCAGGUAGGGAUACCCGCUGAACUUAA
rnacentral:misc_RNA from 1 species